rnacentral:lncRNA from 1 species
UGUUGGAACAAAACGACGGGGAAACACCGAUAACAAAUGUGCUCGAGUUGUUUAACGAUCUGUACCACAGAUUCCGAUUGACAACUAAACCAACUAUGAAAGCAAUGUGCCUUCAGGCGAUGACUAAAGUUUAUGGAAAAUGUUAGGAAGAGAUUGGCGCUUUUAAUGAUACCAAGCUAAGGAUCAUCUGUUAUUGAUCCAGUGUUACUACAGGAGCCUGAACUAAACUAACUUUAUUCAUACUGUUUCGUAUUUUUGCACUUACAUGAAAAUGGCAUCACCCACAGGGAUUGGAAGCCAGAAAAUGUUUUAUUGUGUGCCUCGGAUGACGAAACUCUUAUAAAGUCAGAUGGAUCUCUCAGUCAUUUCUUAUUCCUGAGUGAACAAAUAGUAUUUCAGUGAAUUGCUAGAACAUACCUAAAGAACAGCUAUAAACUUCAAUUCUCAAAGAUAUG